ensembl:snRNA U6 U6 spliceosomal RNA
GUGUUUCUUCAACAGCUCCUAUCCUAAAGUUAGAAUGAAGCAGAGAAGAUUAGCAUGUUCCCUGUGUGAGGACAGCCUGCAAAUUUCUGAAACAUUACAUUUUUUU